GUGACCCCAGGUCAGGCGGGACCACCCGCUGAGUUUAA
rnacentral:rRNA from 2 species